rnacentral:rRNA from 1 species
UCCAGACUCCUACGGGAGGCAGCAGUGAGGAAUAUUGGUCAAUGGGCUUACGCCUGAACCAGCCAAGUCGCGUGAGGGAAGACUGCCCUAUGGGUUGUAAACCUCUUUUGUCAGGGAGCAACGCCGGCUACGUGUAGCCGGACUGAGAGUACCUGAAGAAAAAGCAUCGGCUAACUCCGUGCCAGCAGCCGCGGUAAUACGGAGGAUGCGAGCGUUAUCCGGAUUUAUUGGGUUUAAAGGGUGCGUAGGCGGUCCGUUAAGUCAGCGGUAAAAUUGCGGGGCUCAACCCCGUCGAGCCGUUGAAACUGCAUCCCUUGAGUGCGCGAGAAGUAUGCGGAAUGCGUGGUGUAGCGGUGAAAUGCAUAGAUAUCACGCAGAACUCCGAUUGCGAAGGCAGCAUACCGGCGCGCAACUGACGCUCAUGCACGAAAGCGUGGGUAUCGAACAGGAUUAGAUACCCGAGUAA